rnacentral:rRNA from 1 species
GACGAACGCUGGCGGCGUGCUUAACACAUGCAAGUCGAACGCUGAAGCUUGGUGCUUGCACUGGGUGGAUGAGUGGCGAACGGGUGAGUAAUACGUGAGUAACCUGCCCUUGACUCUGGGAUAAGCCUGGGAAACUGGGUCUAAUACUGGAUAUGACAUGCCACUGCAUGGUGGUGUGUGGAAAGGGUUUUACUGGUUUUGGAUGGGCUCACGGCCUAUCAGCUUGUUGGCGGGGUAAUGGCCUACCAAGGCGACGACGGGUAGCCGGCCUGAGAGGGUGACCGGCCACACUGGGACUGAGACACGGCCCAGACUCCUACGGGAGGCGGCAGUGGGGAAUAUUGCACAAUGGGCGGAAGCCUGAUGCAGCGACGCCGCGUGAGGGAUGACGGCCUUCGGGUUGUAAACCUCUUUCAGCACGGAAGAAGCGAGAGUGACGGUACGUGCAGAAGAAGCGCCGGCUAACUACGUG